AUGACAUUUCAUGUUGUGACAACCUCGGAAAAAAUGAAGCAAAGAGCGAAUCAUUUGUCCUUUUCUCACUCAUAGUUUGUGUCGUAAGCUAGAAGAGAGCCGGUUUAUAGUUUCUGAAUUCUUAUUUUAGCCUUCCUUCUAUGCUUUAGUUAUUGUUCUGAGUUUGGACCUAUUGGACUCAUUUUAAUUCGGCCAAAUACAUAGUAACAUACAUAAGAAGAUUUUACUUAUAUUUACCGAACUAUUUGACACGGUCGCGUGAACUUUGUUUACGAGUGUCUUGUGUUCAGAUUGUUUUAAGUGAUAAUUUAACAAUAUUUUUCCAAAUAAAUGGAAAGAAACUUUUAUUUAUAUCAAAUAAUUGAGUGUCUCGACUCUGUGACAUUAUGUCUUGUGUGGUAUGGGGCUGCAGCUCACAUUCAAGAAGAAAAGAAAAUAGCCAACAACUUCUGUCGUUUCAUCGAUAUUAAAUCCAAAAGUGUCGACUGGAUUUACAUGAAAAGUCAGUUCAAGAAGACGAGAUGAAAAAUUUAAAAGAAAAGCUGAACAAGUCACGCCUCAAGAUCAAACGACUUAAUGAAAAAAAAAAUCAAUGUGACAGGGUGUCACAAAGACAGUUUCUAAACAAAUUGACACUUUAGAAAUUAAUAAAUUUGUAUUUAUUGUAAAUAUAAUGUACAUAAUUAAUAACGUGUAUAAUAAAUACUUGCUAAUGAACAGAUUUACGAUCUAAUUUAUAUUUCAUUUUACCUCCUGUUCUUAUUUACUCCUACUCCAACACUCCAGGUUGAUACGAACUGCGCCCAAUAAAGAAUGUAAUGAAUGUUAUAGAUUUGUGUAAGCGACUUAGAUAAAUCUUGACUAAACCUUCCUUUACAAAUACAAAUAUACUUUAUUGCACACAACAUACAAUA